rnacentral:rRNA from 1 species
UAAGACGAACCGUGCAAACGUUGUUCGGAAUCACUGGGCUUAAAGGGCGCGUAGGCGGGCAGGCAAGUCGGAGGUGAAAGCCCACGGCUCAACCGUGGAAGUGCCCCCGAUACUGCAUGUCUGGAGGGAGGUAGGGGCGUGCGGAACUUCCGGUGGAGCGGUGAAAUGCGUAGAUAUCGGAAGGAACACCGGUGGCGAAAGCGGCGCGCUGGACCUCUACUGACGCUGAGGCGCGAAAGCCAGGGGAGCAAACGGGAUUAGAUACCCCGGUAGUCCUGGCCCUAAACGAUGGGUACUAGGUAGUGGACUUACAUGGGUUCACUGCCGAAGCAAAAGUGUUAAGUACCCCGCCUGGGGAGUAUGGUCGCAAGGCUG